AAUAUUUGGGCGAAUUUCAGUUAAAUCAAUCAUUGUGUGUGAAUUAAUGAAUGAAUAUUCGUUAAGUAAAAAAACUCAAUAUUGAUGGUAAACGCCUUUCCAAAAAUAUUAAGUUUUAGCUUCGAAUUAUUUUUGUUUCCACACUAAUCAUUUUCAACAAAUUUAUUUAUAUGCAUCAUUAUCGUCAUCGUUGUCAUCUGGAUAAUGAUCAACUGGAACAAAAUCUGGCAAGCAUAUAAUAUACAAUUGAAAUACAGAAAAUUUUUUCAAGAAAAAUUGUUUUGCCUUUACAUUGAUCAUGUAUCAUCGAUCAAGAAUCAAUAGAUUUGGUGUGUGAGAAAAGAAAACAUCAAAAAACUCACAUUUUAACUUUCAUCGUUUUUUCUAAUCGAAUCGCAAAAAUGAUAACCAUAUUUUUUUUUUUGGUUGACGCCUUUCUGAACUGACUAUUUGGAAUCAUUACAAUAAUUUAAUCAUUCGAUUUUGAUUUGGUUGUAAAAAUCAAAAACUUGUAUUCACUAAUAUCCUAUUCAUUUCAUCAUCAAUAUGACUUUAUAUGGUUCGAAGAACUUGUUGAUUUGACCCAAAAGAAUAAAUUUACAAAUUUGUA